rnacentral:rRNA from 1 species
GAUGAACGCUGGCGGCGUGCCUAAUACAUGCAAGUCGAGCGAACGGACGAGAAGCUUGCUUCCCUGAUGUUAGCGGCGGACGGGUGCGUAACACGUGGAUAACCUACCUCUAAGACUGGGAUAACUUCGGGAAACCGGAGCUAAUACCGGAUAAUAUUUUGAACCGCAUGGUUCAAAAGUGAAAGACGGUCUUGCUGUCACUUAUAGAUUGAUCCGCGCUGCAUUAGCUAGUUGGUAAGGUAACGGCUUACCCAGGCAACGAUGCAUAGCCGACCUGAGAGGGUGAUCCGCCACACUGGAACUGAGACACGGUACAGACUCCUACGGGAGGCAGCAGUAGGGAAUCUUCCGCAAGGGGGGAAAGCCUGACGGAGGAAAGCCGCGUGAGUCAUGAAGGUCUUCGGCUCGUAAAACUCUGUUAUUAGGGAAGAACAUAUGUGUAAGUAACUGUGCACAUCUUGACGGUACCGAAUCAGAAAGCCACGGCUAACUACGUG